CCGCGGCUGCACCGCUGCACGGCUAGGGUGGGGAAAGGCUGCUGCUGUUUUCGGUACGGCCUCGUCCGCCGCCUUUCCGUGAUACCCGGUCCUCUGACUCCCAUAUACCUGUUGGGCCACCUUGAAUGAUCUCAAGGCCAGAAGUUCGUAUGGCCCAGACACCUGAGGGAGGCAGUGUGGUGUGAAGGACUUGGACUCCGGCUGCAGAUAAAUGCUCGAAUCCCACCUAUGUAAUUUAACCAGCUGUCUGGCCUCGGGCAAGCCACGUAACUUCUCAGCAUCCCAGUUUCUUUAUCUGAAAUCAAAAGAGAGCAGUGCCCAAAUAAAAAGGCUAAAGUUCAGCAAGAACUUCAGCCUUGGAGCGAACCGCUCACCUCCUGCUACUUACCAACUGUGUCACCUUGGAAAUUUUUAGUAUGAUCUUGAGACCCUCCCCAAUCACUUCUCAUCUCACUAAGCAUAAAAGCCAAAGUCUUUAUAGUGGCCCACAAACCCCUCUGUUCUGCUCUCUACUGCUUCUAUGACCUCAUUUACCAUUCUCCUUCUUACUCCUACUCUGUCUAUUCUGGCCAAUACCAGGGCCUUUGCACAUUGUGCCCUGUAAGGUUCUGGUUCUCCUAGAUACCCACAUGGUUCCUGCCCUCAGUGCCCCAGUUCUCUGUUCACAUGUCACAUUGUCAGAGAGGUGUUCCUUGGCCUUCCUGUUUGAAAUAGCAACAACACCUCCAUCCACCAUAGUAAUCUAUCUGCUUUCCUUCUAACUCUCUAUGAGGUCUCCUUCGCUGCAUUUUUUCCAUAGCACUUAACACCAUCUGCCACACUAUGUGUUUGUUUAUUUAUUCACUCCCUCUUCUCCCUACAGAUUUUUAUCUGCUUCGUUCACUUGUAUUUCCAAUACCUAAAACAGUUACUGGUACAUAAAAAAAUUCUAUGAAUAUUUGAUGAAUAAAUGAAUACAUUAUCCAUGUGAAUUAC